rnacentral:rRNA from 1 species
AACAAAAACAUGUCCUUUAGAGUAGAAUUUAAGGUCUAACCUGCCCAUUGAGGAAUUUAACGGCCGCAGUAUUUUGACUGUGCAAAGGUAGCAUAAUCAUUAGUUUUUUAAUUGAAAGCUUGUAUGAAUGGUUGGACGAGAUAUAGACUGUCUUUAAAUUAAAAGUAGAAUUUAAUUUUUAAGUUAAAAAGCUUAAAUAAAAUUAAAAGACGAGAAGACCCUAUAAAUCUUUAUAAAUUUUUUUAUUUAAUUUUUUAGGAUUAUUAAUUUUUAUAUAAAUAAGUUUAUUUUAUUGGGGUAAUAAAAAGAUUUAAAAAAUUCUUUUAUAGUUUUACAUUGAUUAGUGUAUUUAAUGAUCCUAUAUUAUAGAUUAUAAGAUUAAGUUACUUUAGGGAUAACAGCGUAAUUUUUUUAGAGAGUUCUUAUCGAUAAAAAAGUUUGCGACCUCGAUGUUG